UCGGCCGGUUACGUCACAGCGCCGCGACUCGGCCUGUCCCAAUUCGAAGACUCCUUCAAAUGCGGUCGACGAAUGCGGCCUUCUUUUCGCCUGAAUGAAGGAUGGGUCGGGUGUAUCCUUCAAUAGGUAGCAUUUCCCAAGAUGCCUUGCGGGCCGGCCGGCAGAAAAACUUAAAAACAAUGGCGGACAGUGAAGCGGGAGCUGUCGGAGAGGAUUGCGCUUAUAAAUGACCAAAAGAGAAAACCAGGGAAUUUAUUAAGCUUAGGGCGGAGAUGGACCACAUGAUCACCGGAGCAAAGUAUUCGGCGGCUGUGGCAUGGAGACUAUUCUGGAGAAAAUGGGCAUCCAGGGGAAGGUGCCAGCGAUGAGCUUCUGGAGCUGAUCUGGGAGGACAUGAGGCUGCAGAGCAGCAGAGAGCACAGGAGAGAAGGAAGAACUUUGACAGCUUUUUACUUUGCUAGAAAAAAAUGGUUAAUGAAGAUUAAACAUGUACAUGUAAAAGAAAUAUCUAAAUAAAAUCAGUUCUGCAUUAAA